rnacentral:rRNA from 1 species
CGGCGGACGGGUGAGUAACACGUGGAUAACCUACCUAUAAGACUGGGAUAACUUCGGGAAACCGGAGCUAAUACCGGAUAAUAUAUUGAACCGCAUGGUUCAAUAGUGAAAGACGGUUUUGCUGUCACUUAUAGAUGGAUCCGCGCCGCAUUAGCUAGUUGGUAAGGUAACGGCUUACCAAGGCAACGAUGCGUAGCCGACCUGAGAGGGUAAUCGGCCACACUGGAACUGAGACACGGUCCAG